GGUGGUUCUCGGGUGAUGCACCCCAGAAUCAGGCUCCCUCCUCUCUGGUUCUGGGUGUGUCACCUGAGAACCACA
rfam:Myotis davidii contig85053, whole genome shotgun sequence.